rnacentral:rRNA from 1 species
AGAGCGAACGCUGGCGGCAGGCUUAACACAUGCAAGUCGAGCGCCCCGCAAGGGGAGCGGCAGACGGGUGAGUAACACGUGGGAACGUACCCUUUGGUUCGGAACAACCCAGGGAAACUUGGGCUAAUACCGGAUAAGUCCGUAAGGAGAAAGAUUUAUCGCCAAAGGAUCGGCCCGCGUCUGAUUAGCUAGUUGGUAGGGUAAUGGCCUACCAAGGCUACGAUCAGUAGCUGGUCUGAGAGGAUGAUCAGCCACAUUGGGACUGAGACACGGCCCAAACUCCUACGGGAGCAGCAGUGGGGAAUAUUGGACAAUGGGCGCAAGCCUGAUCCAGCCAUGCCGCGUGAGUGAUGAAGGCCUUAGGGUUGUAAAGCUCUUUAGCGGGAAGAUAAUGACGGUACCGACAAGAAAACGCCCGGACUAACUUCGCGCCAGUACGCCGC